GACGAACGCUGGCGGCGUGCCUAAUACAUGCAAGUCGAACGCUGAAGGAGGAGCUUGCUCUUCUGGAUGAGUUGCGAACGGGUGAGUAACGCGUAGGUAACCUGCCUGGUAGCGGGGGAUAACUAUUGGAAACGAUAGCUAAUACCGCAUAACAGUAGAUGUUGCAUGACAUUUGCUUAAAAGGUGCAAUUGCACCACUACCAGAUGGACCUGCGUUGUAUUAGCUAGUUGGUGGGGUAACGGCUCACCAAGGCGACGAUACAUAGCCGACCUGAGAGGGUGAUCGGCCACACUGGGACGGAGACACGGCCCAGACUCCUACGGGAGGCAGCAGUAGGGAAUCUUCGGCAAUGGACGGAAGUCUGACCGAGCAACGCCGCGGGAGUGAAGAAGGGUGUCGGAUCGUAAAGCUCUGUUGUAAGAGAAGAACGAGUGUGAGAGUGGAAAGUUCACACUGUGACGGUAGCUUACCAGAAAGGGACGGCUAACUACGUG
rnacentral:rRNA from 1 species